GACGAACGCUGGCGGCGUGCUUAACACAUGCAAGUCGAACGGAGGAUUUAUUUCGGUAAAUCCUUAGUGGCGAACGGGUGAGUAACGCGUGGGCAAUCUGCCCUUCAGAUGGGGACAACAUCCCGAAAGGGGUGCUAAUACCGAAUACGAACGUUUUCCCGCAUGGGAUUACGAUGAAAGAUGUCAUCUAUUUAUAAGCUAUCGCUGAAGGAUGAGCUUGCGUCUGUUUAGCUAGUUGGUGGGGUAACGGCCUACCAAGGCGAUGAUCAGUAGCCGGUCUGAGAGGAUGAACGGCCACAUUGGGACUGAGACACGGCCCAAACUCCUACGGGAGGCAGCAGUGGGGAAUAUUCCGCAAUGGACGAAAGGCUGACGGAGCAACGCCGCGUGAGUGAUGAAGGUUUUCGGACUGUAAAGCUCUGUUGUUUAGGACGAAAGUGCCUGUUGCGAACAGUUACAGGUAUUGACGGUACUGAACGAGGAAGCCACGGCUAACUACGUGCCAGCCGCCGCCGUAA
rnacentral:rRNA from 1 species